rnacentral:rRNA from 1 species
GACGUAGGGGGCCAGCGUUGUUCGGAAUUACUGGGUGUAAAGGGUUCGUAGGCGGUGCGGCAAGUCGGGAGUGAAAUCUCUGGGCUUAACCCAGAGGCUGCUUCCGAAACUGCUGUGCUUGAGUGUGGGAGAGGCGCGUGGAAUUGCAGGUGUAGCGGUGAAAUGCGUAGAUAUCUGCAGGAACACCCGUGGCGAAAGCGGCGCGCUGGACCACUACUGACGCUGAGGAACGAAAGCUAGGGAGCAAACAGG